rnacentral:rRNA from 1 species
UAAGGAAUAUUGCUCAAUGGGAGAAAUCCUGAAGCAGCAACGCCGCGUGGAGGAUGAAGGGUCUAUGACUUGUAAACUCCUGUAAAGAAGGAAAAAAUUCCCAUUUGAUGGGAGAUGAUGGUACUUCUGGAGUAAGCCCCGGCUAACUACGUGCCAGCAGCCGCGGUAAUACGUAGGGGGCAAGCGUUGUCCGGAUUUACUGGGUGUAAAGGGUGCUCAGGCGGAUUUGUAAGUCAGAGGUGAAAUCUUACAGCUUAACUGUGAAACUGCCUUUGAUACUGCAAGCCUAGCGUAUGGAAGAGAGUGAUGGAAUAUCUGGUGUAGCAGUGAAAUGCGUAGAUAUCAGAUAGAACACCAGUGGCGAAGGCGGCCUUCUGGACCACACCUGACGCUCAGACGCGAAAGCUAGGGUAGCAAACG